rnacentral:tRNA from 1 species
GGGCAUGUAGUUCAGCUAGUAGAGUGUCUGCUCAUCAUACAGAAAGCCCUGGGUUCAAGUCCCAGCACCA